rnacentral:rRNA from 1 species
AUUGAACGCUGGCGGCAGGCCUAACACAUGCAAGUCGAGCGAGCGGCGGACGGGUGAGUAAUGUAUGGGGAUCUGCCCGAUAGAGGGGGAUAACUACUGGAAACGGUGGCUAAUACCGCAUACUAUCGGCUGAGCCCCUAUGGGAGUAGCUAGUCGGUGGGGUAAAGGCUCACCUAGGCGACGAUCUCUAGCUGGUCUGAGAGGAUGACCAGCCACACUGGGACUGAGACACGGCGCAGACUCCUACGGGAGGCAGCAGUGGGGAAUAUUGCACAAUGGGCGCAAGCCGGAUGCAGCCAUGCCGCGUGUAUGAAGAAGGCCUUAGGGUUGUAAAGUACUUUCAGCGGGGAGGCGGUACCCGCAGAAUAAGCACCGGCUAACUCCGUGCCAGCAGCCGCGGUAAUAC